rnacentral:rRNA from 1 species
AUUGAACGCUGGCGGCAGGCUUAACACAUGCAAGUCGAGCGGGGGAAGGUAGCUUGCUACCGGACCUAGCGGCGGACGGGUGAGUAAUGCUUAGGAAUCUGCCUAUUAGUGAGGGACAACAUCUCGAAAGGGAUGCUAAUACCGCAUACGUCCUACGGGAGAAAGCAGGGGAUCUUCGGACCUUGCGCUAAUAGAUGAGCCUAAGUCGGAUUAGCUAGUUGGUGGGGUAUAGGCCUACCAAGGCGACGAUCUGUAGCGGGUCUGAGAGGAUGAUCCGCCACACUGGGACUGAGACACGGCCCAGACUCCUACGGGAGGCAGCAGUGGGGAAUAUUGGACAAUGGGGGGAACCCUGAUCCAGCCAUGCCGCGUGUGUGAAGAAGGCCUUAUGGUUGUAAAGCACUUUAAGCGAGGAGGAGGCUACUUUAGUUAAUACCUAGAGAUAGUGGACGUUACUCGCAGAAUAAGCACCGGCUAACUCUGUGCCAGCCGCCGCGGUAA